CUGUUAAUUUGGCUGAGGCUGGUGGGGAUCUGACUUUCCUUCAGCAAAUGAUCUGGGACAGCGGCUGGCUCACCAUAUAUCUUCCUUUACAGCCUCUGUGACACUCGAUUCCGAAUUUCUCAGGCCUAAAAAUAAUAUCCUAAACCCCAUCCAGAGUCCCCACAUCACUAGCCGUAUGACCCCACAGAAGUAACUUACCCUUGGCCCUGCGUUUCCACCUGUACAGUGAGAGGACUGGGUACAAUGAUCUCUCCGCUUCCAGCCCUAGAAAUGCCUUAUGAAUGGGGUCAGCUGCUGAAGGGUGAAUGUCAUCCCAGCCCUUUUCUCUUCCCUGGAAAUCACCUGAAAUCUGAAGGAGCGAAGCCUCUGGCCAUGAUUUUGAAGCAAUACAUCAUGUGUCCCUGGAUGGUUCUAGGGCAACUGCGAAGGGUUUCUGCUAUUUGCUGCCUUUGUCCUUAAGGGUUAAGAACUGCUUGUGUCAUAGCUGCAAAAAACUCUUUCCUAUUCCCACAUACUGGCAAGCAAUUUUUUAAAAUCAUUUAAAGUUUUUGCGAGAACAGGAUUAAUUUUUUUUAAGUACAGAAAGUUGGUGGAAGAAGAGCAAUCCCCCCUUUUUAAACCUCACCUGCGUACAUCCAGUUACUCAGUCAUUCUCACCGCAUUUGAAUGCUAUUUUGAGUCACCGGCGUCAUCAGAGCAUCAGUUUUGAGCUGUGCUUGAUGAGUUAGAUGCAUCUCCCUGGGGAAGGUCGACCUGGCUACUGUGACAAGGCUUUGCAAGUGGCAGGACAUUGGGGGGCCACCUUUCGUGUUCUGAAAAUCGAUAUUGUCAGGACACUGCAAGGAGUCAGGGUCUCAGGACUCAGCUUCUGGGAAUACUCUACAGCCCACCGAGCCAGCUCGCCUAGCAAUGAGACGUGAAGCUGUGGGGCUAGAAGUCAUAUCACCAUAUGAACGUGUCCUAUUACAUCCAAAGCAUGUAGAAGAGAAAGAAGGUUUGAAACACACAGUCAGAAGCAAACCCACAGAAAAUUCUUCCAGUCUUCACACAUAUGAAAUGAAAAAGUUUCAGGCCCCAUGAAACUUGGAUCUGUCCCUGGUCGAGCAGCUGCCAUUUGCCCAACUACACAUUGGGUCCUUGGGAUGCGGAGAUGAGCAAGACACAAUCUUCGCCAUCAACAAACUUGUAUUCUA